rnacentral:rRNA from 1 species
CUCUCUGUGACUCCUACGGGAGGCAGCAGUGGGGAAUAUUGCACAAUGGGCGCAAGCCUGAUGCAGCCAUGCCGCGUGUGUGAAGAAGGCCUUCGGGUUGUAAAGCACUUUCAGUCGUGAGGAAGGUAGUGUAGUUAAUAGCUGCAUUAUUUGACGUUAGCGACAGAAGAAGCACCGGCUAACUCCGUGCCAGCAGCCGCGGUAAUACGGAGGGUGCGAGCGUUAAUCGGAAUUACUGGGCGUAAAGCGCAUGCAGGUGGUUUGUUAAGUCAGAUGUGAAAGCCCCGGGGCUCAACCUCGGAAUUGCAUUUGAAACUGGCAGACUAGAGUACUGUAGAGGGGGUAGAAUUUCAGGUGUAGCGGUGAAAUGCGUAGAGAUCUGAAGGAAUACCGGUGGCGAAGACGGCCCCCUGGACAGAUACUGACACUCAGAUGCGAAAGCGUGGGGAGCAAACAGGAUUAGAUACCCUGGUAG